CAACAACAACAAAAAAAGUCUGAUCUCAGACUUCCCACAAUCUCUCUGUUCAAAUCCCACCUUACUCCGGCGAGUGGGACUGACUCAGCGAGUCUCCGAUCGAGUCAGAUGGGGACGGGAACUAACGGCGAGUUGAAGUACGAGAUCUCACAGAACGCCUACAUCAAACUCGUCCUCCACUCCCUUCGCCACAAGACGGCGGCGGUCAACGGAGUCCUCGUCGGUCGAAUCAGCCCCAACGACGAAGGCGUCGUGGAGAUCUCCGAUUCCGUGCCGCUCUUUCACUCCAACCUCCCCCUCCUUCCUCCUCUCGAAAUCUCCCUCAUCAUGAUAGAGCAGCAUUACGUGGCUCAAGGUUUGAGUGUUGUUGGCUACUUUCACGCCAACCAGAGGUUCGAUGACGUGGAGGUCUCUGGUGUGGCUAAGAACAUUGGUGAUCACAUCUCUCGCUACUUCCCUCACGCACCGAUUCUCUUGUUGAACAACAAGAAGCUUGAAGCCUUGUCACAGGGUACCGGCGGCAGCGGCAGCGUCAACAUUCUGCGUUAAUUUUUGUUCGUUUUGUUGAUGUACGUCUGACGCCACGUCCUGCGGCUGACGCCGAUAAAACCUACGGUUGCGACAUAAUCUGCGGCAGCGUCAGCGAAACGAAUAACAACUGUCCUCAUUGACGCUGCCGCUGACGCUGACGCCGAAACCUGCGGCAACCAAAAACCAAACGAACAUGGCUUUAGUCAAUUAAGGAACAUAUAUAUAUUAAUGAGCUUUGAUAUGGGAUUUAGAUUUACAUGUUAUUUAAUUUUGUUGCAUUUUAUUCGUUUAGUAAUUCUUUAUGUUAGUGUGUGUAUAUUCUAGCUUUGUGUGAGGGAUGCUUCCAAGAACUGGAGAGUGGUUGGAGCUGAUGGAGGAAGCAAGUUGCUCUUAAAAGAGCCAUCCGCCAAUGUGGUUUUGUCAGAUUACAUUUCGUCUGAGAAGUGGAAAGACGUCAUAGAUUUUGAUGAACAUCUUGAUGAUUUGACCAAGGACUGGCUAAACCCUGGACUUUUCAACUGAACACGGGCUUGCAAUAUAGUUAAUUAGAGUUUUGCUUUCAUCAUCUUCAGUCGAAAAACAAAAUAUUCUCAGACCCUUCUUGUUUACAGUUUCCUUUAAAUCUUGUUCAAGUAUUAUCCAGAGCUUACAGAACAGAGGUCAGUUUACUUUUAAUUGGUCCCAUCUUGAACCAAAAUUUUAUCAUUUUAAUGAUAUAUUUUGGGGCUUGUUCUCGUGAUCGA